rnacentral:rRNA from 1 species
UGGGGAAUCUUCCGCAAUGGACGAAAGUCUGACGGAGCAACGCCGCGUGAGUGAUGACGGCCUUCGGGUUGUAAAGCUCUGUUAAUCGGGACGAAUGGGUCUUGUGCGAAUAGUGCAAGGAUUUGACGGUACCGGAAUAGAAAGCCACGGCUAACUACGUGCCAGCAGCCGCGGUAAUACGUAGGUGGCAAGCGUUGUCCGGAAUUAUUGGGCGUAAAGCGCGCGCAGGCGGAUUGGUCAGUCUGUCUUAAAAGUUAGGGGCGUAACCCCGUGAUGGAAUGGAAACUGCCCAGCUAGAGUAUCGGAGAGGAAAGUGGAAUGCCUAGUGUAGCGGUGAAGUGCGUAGAUAUUAGGAAGAACACCAGUGGCGAAGGCGACUUUCUGGACGAAAACUGACGCUGAGGCGCGAAAGCCAGGGGAGCGAACGGG